rnacentral:rRNA from 1 species
GCAGCAUGCUCACUGAGUCUUCCAAUAUAGCUGGAAGGUUUUGUGAGUGAUGGCGAGCGGCGGACGGCUGAGUAACGCGUAGGAAUGUGCCCCAAAGGGAGGGAUAAGCACCGGAAACGGAGUCUAAUACCGCAUAUGGUCUUCGGAUUAAAGCUUUUAGCGCUUUGGGAACAGCCUGCGUCCGAUUAGGUUGUUGGUGAGGUAAUGGCUCACCAAGCCGACGAUCGGUAGCUGGUCUGAGAGGAUGAUCAGCCAGACUGGAACUGAGACACGGUCCAGACUCCUACGGGAGGCAGCAGUGGGGAAUAUUGGACAAUGGGGGGAACCCUGAUCCAGCCAUGCCGCGUGUGUGAAGAAGGCCUUAUGGUUGUAAAGCACUUUAAGCGAGGAGGAGGCUCUUUUGGUUAAUACCCAAGAUGAGUGGACGUUACUCGCAGAAUAAGCACCGGCUACUCUGUGCCAGCCGCCGCAGUAA